UACCAACACCAACCUAUUUGUAGUAAUGGUAUCAUUCAUUUCGAGAGCAGUCUCCAUUUACGCAACAAUACUCACGCAUCCCCAUAUAUGUGCUGGCCUCCCAGGACUGUGACCUACUACCUUACAGCAUUACUAUGCUUAUGCCAGUGGCACUGGCUGGUUCUGUUUGCUGCAAUGCACUGUAAGACACAAGAGAGCGUAGCCUGGGAACGUUUAAGAAGUGGACAAUGGAAUGGGGACUUGGGUAUUACUUUCACAUGCGGAAUGUGCGGGUAAACAAACAGCCCAUUGUGGUGCGUUCAGCAAUGCGCCUUAGUGCAUUGUGCGUCCUUUUCAUACGCAGUGAAGACAGUGAGAAAAUGUGCCCACUCAGCACAAUCGCGGGGUCGGGGCCUUUAAGCACAGCUUGUAAUUUGCAAGUAUGUAUUUGCAUACCUGCUCGCCAAUUGUCGGCUGUACUCCCAAACAACUCACCCCCUCCAAAACAGGCGGGGUAUUUUACUGAAUUGCUCAUUUACUCACGAAACCUACUUUUUGUUGCUUUUCAGAACAUAAAAUAGAGAAGUAGCGCGCUGUCAAAGAGUUUUGCAAUAAUGGAAUGGGAUGUGGAAAAGGCUUCUACUGGACAAUAACUUCAAAAUUACUAUCCUGGAACAUUUGUUUCGGUUAAAGCUUAUAAUAAAGCUCGGGAAUCUUAAUGAAUACAUUUA